GGGCGGAUGGUUUAGUGGUAUAAUUCUCCCUUAGCAUAUUCAUUCUCACGAAUGCCUCUGCUUGGGAGAGGUCCAGGGUUCGAUUCCCUGUUCGUCCA